UACAGAGGGUGCGAGCGUUAAUCGGAAUUACUGGGCGUAAAGGGCGCGUAGGCGGUUAGUUAAGUUAGAUGUGAAAUCCCUGGGCUUAACCUAGGAACUGCAUCUGAUACUGGCUAGCUAGAGUGCAGUAGAGGGUAGUGGAAUUUCCGGUGUAGCGGUGAAAUGCGUAGAUAUCGGAAGGAAUACCAGUGGCGAAGGCGGCUACCUGGACUGACACUGACGCUGAGGCGCGAGAGCGUGGGGAGCAAACAGG
rnacentral:rRNA from 1 species